GAUGAACGCUAGCGGCAGGCUUAACACAUGCAAGUCGUGGGGCAGCGCGAGGUAGCAAUACUUUGGCGGCGACCGGCAAACGGGUGCGGAACACGUACGCAACCUUCCUCAGAGCGGGGAAUAGCCUCUCGAAAGAGAGAUUAAUACCCCAUAGUAUCUCGAAACUGCAUGGUUUGGGAUUAAAGCUUCGGCACUUUGAGAUGGGCGUGCGGCUGAUUAGGUAGUUGGUAGGGUAACGGCCUACCAAGCCAACGAUCAGUAGCUGAUGUGAGAGCAUGAUCAGCCACACGGGCACUGAGACACGGGCCCGACUCCUACGGGAGCAGCAGUGAGGAAUAUUGGUCAAUGGAGGAAACUCUGAACCAGCCAUGCCGCGUGAAGGAUGAAGGUCCUCUGGAUUGUAAACUUCUUUAUAGAAGAAGAAACCCCAUUAUCUUAAUGGUUGACGGUACUCUAUGAAUAAGCACCGGCUAACUCCGUGCCAG
rnacentral:rRNA from 1 species